rnacentral:rRNA from 1 species
GACGAACGCUGGCGGCGUGCUUAACACAUGCAAGUCGAACGAUGAAGCCUAGCUUGCUAGGUGGAUUAGUGGCGAACGGGUGAGUAAUACGUGAGUAACCUACCUUUAACUCUGGGAUAAGCCUGGGAAACUGGGUCUAAUACCGGAUACGACUAAUCUCCGCAUGGGGUGUUGGUGGAAAGCGUUAUGUAGUGGUUAUAGAUGGGCUCACGGCCUAUCAGCUUGUUGGUGAGGUAACGGCUCACCAAGGCGACGACGGGUAGCCGGCCUGAGAGGGUGACCGGCCACACUGGGACUGAGACACGGCCCAGACUCCUACGGGAGGCAGCAGUGGGGAAUAUUGCACAAUGGGCGCAAGCCUGAUGCAGCGACGCCGCGUGAGGGAUGACGGCCUUCGGGUUGUAAACCUCUGUUAGCAGGGAAGAAGAGAGAUUGACGGUACCUGCAGAGAAAGCGCCGGCUAACUACGUGCCAGCAGCCGCGGUAAUACGUAGGGCGCGAGCGUUGUCCGGAAUUAUUGGGCGUAAAGAGCUUGUAGGCGGUUUGUCGCGUCUGCUGUGAAAGGCCGGAGCUUAACUCCGUGUAUUGCAGUGGGUACGGGCAGACUAGAGUGCAGUAGGGGAGACUGGAAUUCCUGGUGUAGCGGUGGAAUGCGCAGAUAUCAGGAGGGAACACCGAUGGCGAAGGCAGGUCUCUGUGGCUGUAACUGACGCUGAGAAGCGAAAGCAUGGGGAGCGAACAGGAUUAUAUACCCUUGUAGUCCCAGGGCGAAUUCCACACGGGAUAUCAGCUUAUCGAUACCGUCGACUUCGAGGGGGGGCCCGGGUCCCCGU